rnacentral:rRNA from 1 species
UACGUAGGGUGCGAGCGUUGUCCGGAAUUACUGGGCGUAAAGAGCUCGUAGGUGGUUUGUCGCGUUGUUCGUGAAAACUCACAACUCAAUUGUGGGCGUGCGGGCGAUACGGGCAGACUGGAGUACUGCAGGGGAGACUGGAAUUCCUGGUGUAGCGGUGGAAUGCGCAGAUAUCAGGAGGAACACCGGUGGCGAAGGCGGGUCUCUGGGCAGUAACUGACGCUGAGGAGCGAAAGCGUGGGGAGCGAACGGG